AACGCACCUUGCGCCCUUUGGUAUUCCGAAGGGCAUGCCUGUUUGAGUGUCAUUAAAUUAUCAACCUUGCUCGCUUUUACCGGCUUGAGUUAGGCUUGGAUGUGAGGGCUUUGCUGGCUUCCUUCAGUGGAUGGUCUGCUCCCUUUAAAUGCAUUAGUGGGAUCUCUUGUGGACCGUCACUUGGUUGUGAUAAUGAUCACCGUGGCUGGAUCGCUUUAACGUCUAUGCCCAACCUUUUCCAUUGACUUGGAAAAACCCCACUUGACAUUUUGACCUCAAAUCAGGUAGGACUACCCGCUGAACUUAA
rnacentral:rRNA from 1 species